rnacentral:snoRNA from 1 species
GAGCAAAUGAUGAAUGAUAUUAGUGUAUGACUGAUGUAAUGAUGCUUUUAUAAUCGAGCUUUUUAAAACUGAUGCUCA